rnacentral:tRNA from 1 species
GGCCAGUUAGCUCAGUCAGAGUGUGGUGCUGAUAACGCCAAGGUCGUGGGUUCAAUCCCCAUUCGGUCCC